AAGGAAUAUUGCUCAAUGGGAGAGAUCCUGAAGCAGCAACGCCGCGUGGAGGAUGAAGGGUCUAUGACUUGUAAACUCCUGUAAAGAAGGAAAAAAUUCCCAUUUGAUGGGAGAUGAUGGUACUUCUGGAGUAAGCCCCGGCUAACUACGUGCCAGCAGCCGCGGUAAUACGUAGGGGGCAAGCGUUGUCCGGAUUUACUGGGUGUAAAGGGUGCUCAGGCGGAUUUGUAAGUCAGAGGUGAAAUCUUACAGCUUAACUGUGAAACUGCCUUUGAUACUGCAAGCCUAGAGUAUGGAAGAGAGUGAUGGAAUAUCUGGUGUAGCAGUGAAAUGCGUAGAUAUCAGAUAGAACACCAAUGGCGAAGGCAGUCACUUGGUCCAUUACUGACGCUAAAGCACGAAAGCGUGGGUAGCAAACA
rnacentral:rRNA from 1 species